rnacentral:rRNA from 1 species
CGGAGGAUCCAAGCGUUGUCCGGAUUUAUUGGGUUUAAAGGGUGCGUAGGUGGAUAAUUAAGUCAGGGGUGAAAGCCUGCAGCUCAACUGUAGAACUGCCCUUGAAACUGAUUAUCUUGAAUGUGGUUGAGGUAGGCGGAAUGUGUCAUGUAGCGGUGAAAUGCUUAGAUAUGAUACAGAACACCAAUUGCGAAGGCAGCUUACUAAGCCAUUAUUGACACUGAGGCACGAAAGCAUGGGGAGCAAACAGGAUUAGAUACCCUGGUAGUCCAUGCCCUAAACGUUGAUAACUCGUUGUUGGCGAUAUACAGUCAGCGACUAAGCGAAAGCGUUAAGUUAUCCACCUGGGGAGUACGUCCGCAAGGAUG